UCGAACGGUAGCAAUUCUAACUUGCUAGAAGAUGACGAGUGGCGGACGGGUGAGUAAUGCUUGGGAACUUGCCUUUGCGAGGGGGAUAACAGUUGGAAACGACUGCUAAUACCGCAUAAUGUCUUCGGACCAAACGGGGCUUUUACCUCCGGCCCAAAAAAAGGCCCAAGUGAAAUUACCUAUUUGGAAAGGAAACGGUUUACCAAGGCAACAAUCUCUACUUGUUCUAAAAGAAAAAUCACCCACACUGGAACUAAAACACGGCCCAAACUCCUACGGAAGGCACCAUGGGGAAAUAUUGCACAAGGGGGAAAACCCUGAUGCACCCUUGCCCCGGGGGUAAAAAAGGCCUUCGGGUUGUAAAGCACUUUCAUUUGUAAGAAAAAUUUAUAAUUUAAUACCUGCUACCCUUGACUUUAACAACAAAAAAACCACCGGCUAAUUCCUUGCCACCACCCCCGGUAUUACGAAGGGGGCAACCGUUAAUCGAAAUUACUGGCCGUAAACCGCACCCAGGCGGUUUGUUAACCUAAAUGUAAAACCCCCGGGCUCAACCUGGAAUGGUCUUUUAAAACUGGCAAACUAAAUUCUUGAAAAGGGAAGUGAAAUUCCAGGUGUACCGGUGAAUUGCUUAAAUAUCUGAAGAAACAUCAUUGGCAAAGGCAACUCCCUGGCCAAAAACUGA
rnacentral:rRNA from 1 species